AGCAGCGACAGAAAGUAAAGAACGGUUAAAUAUGGUGGAUUCAGGACAAGCCAACAAACAAACUGAGCAAGGCUCUAACAAUAGUGUAGCUGCUUCUGGUUCGAAUCCAAGAGUAGGGGACACAGGACAAAGUACAAAAGUGAAAGCUGGAAGUAAAGAACAAAUAAAUAUUGCAAAUUCAGGAAAAGACUUCGUAGAUUCUGAUAAAGUGUCUAAAGCAAAUGUAGAUAAUUUUGGUUCAAAUCCAAGUAAAAGUGACAGUUCUGUUAGUGGAAAAAAGAUCGGAGAACAACAUUCUCCACGACAAAAAUUUCAGCAUACGAACGAUGAUUCUUCUAAUACGCACACGACUGUUCCACUCACUGUCACCAACCCCUCUAACAGCAACAAGAGUCUCAACAUGGCUUCCAGUCAGAAAGGACAGGUGACCUCUGACUCCAAUCAAGAAAAGAAGAUGAAUCCAAACCUAAGAAGUACAGCCACAAAAGACACAAAAGAAACUCCAACUAAAAUCUUGGUACCGAAGUCCAAUACAGGCUCAGGUCCCACUAACACAGCAGAUACAAGGGAUACAAACAUUGCUGCCAAUCCUAACUCUUCGUCAAAACCCGGGGCUGAUGGCCGCCAAAAGGAAAACAUUCCGGUGAGAACAGAUUCGACUGUCGCAAGGACAGACACGACCAGUGCAGCAGACGGACGAUUCCUCACUACACGUGCAAGCAGUGUUGAGAAAGGACGAGUCGGCAAAGAUCCAAAAGCAAAUGGUGACAACAUUAAAACUAACAGCAGUGCCACGACUGUGAACCGAAAGCAGAAGCGGAAGCCGCCUCGGAGACAUGCGCAGAGCGAGGAGGAGAAGAAGGCGCAGAUGGAGAAGCAAUACCAACACAUGUUUGGCGCCAAGUCUGACAAAACUCGUCUGGUGGUUCCUAAGAUGGAGGGAAUCGAUACUGUCAUCAUUAAGGAACUGGACAAGGAAGGUCGUACGCGCACCAAGAAGAAGGACGUGAAGGAUGUGGUCAGAGAGGCCAAGGAGGUGGCCAACACCGCCAGUGGGUCCGACCCUUUGGCGACCACCACGGACAUCGGCCUCGGCCACCAGCAGCGUCCUGCUUCGGCUGAUACUCUCGACUUUGAUGAUGAGGAUGACAACGAUGAAGACGACGAAGACCUCUUUGAACUAGUUCGCAGGAAAUACAACCUCCAGAUCGACAGUGAUGAGGACGACGUGGAUGUCAAACGAUAAGGCGGCUGCUGUCAUUUUAUUUUUCUGACAUUCUGUGUGCAGCUGCCGUCAGGUAUUUGACGUCAUUUUACGUCAUUAUGUGCAGCUGCUGGAUUACUUUGUCACGUAGCAGGCGAUGUGGAGACAGAUAUCACAACGAAAGACACGUCACGGCCGAAACGGUGGACGUGACGUUGACUGCAAUAUCUCAGUGAGAGAGAAAUUACUGUGGUUAAUUGCAACUUGUAUCACAGAAUAAUUAAUUCAAAAUGGCGGACACCCCUGAAGUGACAUAACAAGUGGUCGUAACAUUUGUUGGUGUCUCGAAACUCGUGGCUACAAAUGUAGUCGGAGCACAACGAAAAGCAUGUCACAAGUGACACGUCACACGCCUUGUGUACGGAGACUGGUGUUUAUGUUUUUAUAAUGAAGUGACAUAAACUCAGUCAGCUCUGACCAGUCUAAACACAACCACAGACUUGUGAUUGGUUCCUCAGGAGCUCUAUGCAAAAGACAAACAAAAUUGUCAAAAUACGUGUGAGAGAUUCUUUCUAUCACAUGUAACAGGGUCAAAGGUGCUCCUGCUCUCAACCUUCUCACCAGAUGCAUUGCAAUUUUGAGGUUUGAGACAUUAGGGCAAUUAUUUUACAACGUUUAUAAACAUCUGAAUUCAGUAUAAUGUAACAAAUCUUUGCUGACUCUAUUAACGAUGGCAAAGAGAAACAGCUUGAAACAAACUUUCUGAUCUUGUUUAUACAACAGUUCUUCCAGUUUCAUGCACACCUUAAAUUUGGACAAUAUACUUUUACAUAGUCAUAGAAAAGGACUAAAAAUAUUAAAAAUUUUGUUCUAGAUUCAGAUUCAGACAUCCUCUGAUUAUUGAGUGGUAAUAAUGUGGACACAGGAACAUUUUUUCUUUCUGUCCCUUAAUUACCGACAUUCAUCAUCAUCGGCCUGAGGUACAUAACUGCCACGCUUGCCUUCUUCGUAUCAAAGGACAUCAGUAACUUCAAAGAAAGCAUUUCAUGUUUACCCAUUAUCUUUUUUCACUCAAAAUGUCUCCUGCCUGCCUCUGUCUGUUUGUCUUUCUGUUUAAUUGAUUGACAUCUAGAGAAUUAAAAGUAUCAUAAAGUACAUGACAAGAGAAGAUAAUUGACAUUUCUCACCACUCAUGUCCCACUCCCUUGUUAGCACCUGUCAACAAUACAGUGAAGGUUGGCUGUCCUGGUUCAGCUCUCGUUCGGGCACGGUUCUUUCUCUGCAUGUAGCAUCUGGGGAGGACACACUAACCGACAGAUGGACGCUGACGUCAUCACGGAGGAUGUGAUCAAUCAGCGCCAUGUCUGCAGCAUCUGUGAUGUUGACUACAAAGCACGCGGCUGUCGGGCAGCUUUCAAGUUUCAUUAAGACAGACACUUUUAUUAAGACUUGCGGACCAAGCUGUCCAGUGUUUGACCCACCCGACCACCACCAACAUCAACACACGUCUAAAAUUAACCGAAAUACCCGUUCACCUGUUUCCUCACCUGAGUCUCUCCCUGCCACCAGUCAUUGUAAUGACGAAUAUCCUUAAAAUUUUGG
rnacentral:misc_RNA from 1 species